rnacentral:rRNA from 1 species
AUUGAACGUUGGCGGCAGGCUUAAGACAUGCAAGUCGAACGAGAAAGCCUUCGGGCGAGUACAGUGGCGGACGGGUGAGUAACACGUAGGAAUCUACCCAGCAGAGGGGGAUAACCCGGGGAAACUCGGGCUAAUACCGCAUAUCUCCCACGGGAGAAAGGGGGGCUUCGGCUCUCGCUGCUGGAGGAGCCUGCGGCGGAUUAGCUUGUUGGUGGGGUAAAGGCCUACCAAGGCGACGAUCCGUAGCUGGUCUGAGAGGAUGAUCAGCCACACUGGGACUGAGACACGGCCCAGACGACUACGGUCGGCAGCAGUCUGGAAUCUUGCGCAAUGGGGGCAACCCUGACGCAGCCAUGCCGCGUGUGUGAAGAAGGCUCUAGGGUUGUAAAGCACUUUCAGUGGUGAAGAAAAGCGAGCGGUUAAUACCCGCAUCGCCGUGACGUUAACCACAGAAGAAGAUCCGGCUAACUCCGUGCCAGCAGCCGCGGUAAUACGGAGGGAUUAAACGUUAAUCGGAAUUACUGGGCGUAAAGAGCACGUAGGCGGUUUGAUAAGCGGAAUGUGAAAGCCCUUAGCUCAACUUGGGAACUGCAUUCCGAACUGUCAGACUUGAGUGCAGUAGAGGAAGGUGAAAUUUCCUGUGUAGCGGUGGAAUGCAUAAAUAUAGGAAGGAACACCAGUGGCGAAGGCGGCCUUCUGGACUGACACUGACGCUGAGGUGCGAAAGCGUGGGGAGCAAACAGGAUUAGAUACCCUGGUAGUCCACGCCGUAAACGAUGAGAACUAGCCGUUUGGCCCUUAGAUGGGCUGGGUGGCGCAGCUAACGUGAUAAGUUCUCCGCCUGGGGAGUACGGCCGCAAGGUUAAAACUCAAAUGAAUUGACGGGGGCCCGCACAAGCGGUGGAGCAUGUUGUUUAAUUCGAUGCAACGCGAAGAACCUUACCACCUCUUGACAUCCCCGGAAUUGGUCAGAGAUGACCGAGUGCCUUCGGGAACCGGGAGACAGGUGCUGCAUGGCUGUCGUCAGCUCGUGUCGUGAGAUGUUGGGUUAAGUCCCAUAACGAGCGCAACCCUCGUCUCUAUUUGCCAGCGGGUCAUGCCGGGAACUAUAGAGAGACUGCCGAUGAUAAAUCGGAGGAAGGUGGGGAUGAUGUCAAGUCAUCAUGGCCCUUAUGAGGUGGGCUACAAACGUGCUACAAUGGCAGGUACAAAGGGUUGCGAAAGCGUGAGCUGGAGCCAAUCUCACAAAGCCUGUCGCAGUUCGGAUGGGAGUCUGCAACUCGACUCCCUGAAGCCGGAAUCGCUAGUAAUCGCGAAUCAGAAUGUCGCGGUGAAUACGUUCCCGGGCCUUGUACACACUGCCCGUCAAACCAUGGGAGUGGGUUGCACCAGAAGUGGCUUGCCUAACCUUCGGGAGGGCGGUUACCACGGUGUGAUUCAUGACUGGGGU